GCCAAUCCAAGCCAAGGGGAAGAAAGACAGACAGAUCUGUUGAAUACCUCUAGUGUUGUGAUGGGUCGGGUCUACUUGCCAAUCCAAGCCAAGGGGAAGAAAGACAGACAGAUCUGUUGAAUACCUCUAGUGUUGUGAUGGGUCGGGUCUGCUUGCCAAUCCAAGCCAAGGGAAAGAACCAAUCUGGAAUUAAGUGUUAUUUUCUUUCAAAUCUCUUUCUUCUUCACUUAAAGAAAGAUAAAGGUUUGGAUCUUUUGCACAACAAUGAACGCAUGUGCCCCUCCCAGCCCCCCCAGCCCCCACCACCACCGAACGACCUGUAAAAAGAGUUUCUUAUUUUACUUAGUAUUUUUCCAAUGGGAAUAAUAUUUUAAAAAAAAUAAACUAAGGUAACAUAUGUGUAGAAUAUAUUGAAUAUAAAUAUUCUCUAGAACAUGAUGAUGCCUCUAGAUCCUGUUGAUGCCAGUAUAUUGAUGUGUUUAGUGUCUCUGUGUGCACCAUCAUUAACUAGCUAGCUUCCUAGACAGAAGUUCAAACUGUCACCUUGCUGAUGACGCUACAGUACGUCCCAAAGGACACCCUAUUUCAGAUCUAGUGUGAUACUUUUGACCAAGGCCUAUAGGACCUGCGGAAGACUAGUGCGGGAGGUGUACUUGUACAUCAAGCUGCCUUAAGCUAAAGAAACAGGAGAUGGGCUCCUGCCUUAUGGGCUUUUCUGGCUCAGACAAGGCUACUUACUUAUGUAGGGGCCCUGGUCCAAAGUAGUGCACUAUAUAGGGAAAGGGUCCUGGUCCAAAGUAGUG
ensembl:lncRNA